rnacentral:lncRNA from 1 species
UACAAAGAGAAUUUUUCGAUUGCGGAGUAAUCUACUCUUUCGAUCCACAAUACCAACCGGUACUUCCUUAUAGGAUAGAUCCUCCUGGAGUGGAAGAGGCUCGUGAGCUAAGACAUGAGAGAGGUCCGGGUUGUACUUGCGUAGCAUUGACACAUGAAACACAUUGUGGAUCUUAGAAAGUUCUGGAGGCAGUGCUAGUCUCGGUACCAAUUCUGUCUAAGAUUUCAAAUGGUCCAAUAAAUCGGGGGUUCAGUUUCCCCCUCUUGCCAAACCUACUGAUUCCCUUGAAAAGAGUGACCUUAAGGAACACCCGAUCGCCUUUCUCAAAUUUCAAAUCUCUCCACCGAGUGUCCGCAUAAUGCUUCUAUCUGCUCUGAGUCAUCUGAAUAUUCUUUCUUAUCUUAACUAUUUUGGAUGUAGUUUCC